rnacentral:misc_RNA from 1 species
GUGAAUCAUCGAAUUUUUGAACGCAAAUUGCACUCUCCUCGGAGAGUAUGCCUGUUUGAGGGUCAGCCUAUAAAAAAUCGACAUCGUUGCUGUUUCGCGGUGGCGUUCGUCGGAAAUUGGGUCAUCUUAAAUCCUUUUGGUUUUUAAGCGACUUAAAAUUUUCUUUUUGGUUCCAUGAACGUUUCUAAGAUUUAUUUCUUUACACGUUUAAGGUAUCGAUUUUUAUUAGACGUGACCGUUGCAUCGGAUCGCGUCCAUAAAUAUUUCGUUAACUGACCUCAUACAGGUAAGAGUACCCG